rnacentral:rRNA from 1 species
UGGGCAGUUUGACUGGGGCGGGCGCCUCCCAAAAGGUAACGGAGGCGCUCAAAGGUUCUCUCAGUACGGUCGGAAAUCGUACGUAGAGUGUAAAGGCAAAAGAGAGCUUGAUUGCAAGACAUACAGGGCGAGCAAGGAUGAAAAUCGGACUUAGUGAUCCGGUGGUUCUGCGUGGAAGGGCCAUCGCUCAACGGAUAAAAGCUACCCUGGGGAUAACAGGCUUAUCUCCCCCAAGAGUCCACAUCGACGGGGAGGUUUGGCACCUCGAUGUCGGCUCAUCACAUCCUGGGGCUGUAGUAGGUCCCAAGGGUUGGGCUGUUCGCCCAUUAAAGUGGUACGCGAGCUGGGUUCAGAACGUCGUGAGACAGUUCGGUCCCUAUCCGUCGCAGGCGUAGGAAAUUUGAGAAGACCUGUCCUUAGUACGAGAGGACCGGGAUGGACGUACCUCUGGUGUACCAGUUGU